GAUGAACGCUGGCGGCGUGCAUAACACAUUCAAGUCGAACGGGGUAAUCCUUCGGGAUUACUUAGUGGCGAACGGGUGAGUAACGCGUGAAGAACCUGCCUUUCAGUGGGGGACAACAGUUGGAAACGACUGCUAAUACCGCAUAAUGUUAUUUGGGGGCAUCCCUGAAAUACCAAAGCUUUAUGUGCUGAAAGAUGGUCUCGCGUCUGAUUAGCUAGUUGGUGAGGUAACGGCUCACCAAGGCGACGAUCAGUAGCCGGUCUGAGAGGAUGAACGGCCACAUUGGGACUGAGAUACGGCCCAGACUCCUACGGGAGGCAGCAGUGGGGAAUAUUGGGCAGUGGGGGAAACCCUGACCCAGCAACGCCGCGUGAAGGAAGAAGGUUUUCGGAUUGUAAACCUCUGUCCUAAGUGAAGAGAAGAAGACGGUAGCUUAGGAGGAAGCCCCGGCUAACUACGUG
rnacentral:rRNA from 1 species